AAAAAACGCACAGAAGAAGGAGAACGCGGAGGACGCGGAAGCAAAAGCAGGAUAACAAGGAGACGACGAAGCUGAUUUAAAUUGGAAGAAAAAUACAAUGACUCGCCAUGGGAAGAACUGUACGGCCGGAGCUGUCUACACAUACCACGAGAAAAA